GUGUGCACCACCACCACUGUCCGGCCAAGCAUUAACAUUUUUAAAACUGACAAAUAUCUUUAGUACAAUGAAAAGUGCCUUAAUUUUGACUUUGCAGUUAUCAUAUAGUGGUAUAAUAUGGUGCUUUGUACUCUGUCAGAGUUGGAUUAAUAGUUUAUCAGAACUUUGUUGAUUAAUGUUAAGACUAUGAACAGUAGCAUAAUGAGAAAGAGAAAUCUGGAAUAUGUUUCAUUCUUUUGGAUGUCUCAACUCAUUUUAUUUGUCACCACUUAAGCCUUUUUAUCCUCAGACCUUCAUAACUUUAAUUCAUGUACCUUACACUUUCCUAUCUUCAUAUAGAUACACCCUAAAAUACCUGUUCCUGAAAUCUGUUUUGUGGCAGUUGGAGCUUUUGCUAUUGCUUUAAGUUGGCAAAGAUACCAGUCAUCAAAAGCAUCAGAGUUCUUGAGAAGGAUAAAAUUUUACCUUGGUUAAUGAUUGAAGAAUAACAGAGACUUACUAGCUGGUUGCACGUACAGCCACCCCAAGGUCCUCCACAGUUGUUGAGGACAGUGGCUUUAAGGAGACCUGCCUUCUGCUGAUAGCAUGGGACCUGUGGAUUAGAAGUAGUAGGAAGACUUGCCUACUGUUGGCCCAAGCAACAUGGAGAAAGUCGAUUCCAUUGUCCUCUUGUCCACAGUCUGAAGAGUCCUUUGCAGCAGUUGAGCCUUCAUCCAGCAGCUGGUGGAAGUAGAAGCAGACACCCACAGCUAAACCUUGAACUGAACUGAAAUCCAGAUGCAGAGAAGGAGGACUGAUGAGCAAAAGGAUCCAUACCAGGCAGGUGAAAACCACAGAAACAGCUGACCUGAACAACAGGGAGCUCUUGGCCCCUAGACUGAUAGCUGGGAAACCAGCAUGGGACUGAUCCAGACCCCCUGAAUGUGGGUGUCAAUGAGGAGACCUUGGAAAUCUACGGGGCCACUUGUAGUGGAUCAGUACUUAUCACUACCAUAGGAAUGGACUUUAGGAACUCAUCCCACAUGGAGGGAUACUCCCUGAGCCUAGACACAAGGGGGUUGGCCUAGGCCCUAUCCCAUAGAAUAUGACAGACUUUGAAGACCUCCCCCCAUGGAAGGCCUCACCCUUCCUGGAGAGCAGAAAGGGUAUG
rnacentral:lncRNA from 1 species